rnacentral:lncRNA from 1 species
GAAAGAAUUCUGUGGAGAAGAAGGCAGAGUGGUCUCCAGGUAGCAAUGUUGAAAAAAAGAAUAGAAUAUCAAUUUCAUCUUCAACAUGCUGAACCAUCCCUAAUCCGAAAAUAUGAAAGCUCCUAAAUCUGAAACUUUUUGAGUGUUAACAUGAUGUUACAGGUAGAAAAUUCUAAACCAGGCAAUUUUAUCUCAUGUGUUUCAAAACAUUAUAUGAAAUUGCCUUUAGGCUAUGUAUAUAAGGUCAUUUUAAUCAGCUUUUCAUUACUGUGACAAAAAUACCUGACAAAAGCAACUUAAAGGAAAAGUAUAUUUAGGCUCAUGGUUUCAGAGUGUUUAGUCUGUGGUUGGCGAACUCCAUCGCUCUGGGACUGAGAUGAAGCAGAGUAUCUUGGCAGAAGGUAAAGCACAGCCAAGCUGCUCAGCUCAUGGGAGCCAAAAAGCAGAGUGAAAAGAUCCAGGAACAAAAUAUAAUCCCCAAAGGCAGACCUCCAGUGACCUACUUCCUCCAGUCAUACAGUUACCUACAGUUACCCCCUAGGAAUCCAUUCAAAUUAUUAAAUUACUAGAUGGAUUAAUCCCCUGAUUAGGUUAUAUCUCCCAUGGGCUCUGGCUCUCAUAAUCUAAUCAUUUUAUCUCUGAACAUUCCUGCAUUGCCACAUGGGCUUUUGAGGGACAUCUCAUAUCCAAACUAUAACAAAGGUUCAUAUGAAGCAUAAAUGAAUUUUGUGUUUCCACUGGUUCUAUCUCGAAGAUACCUUGUGUAUAUGCAAAUAUUCCAAAUUAAAGAAAAGUCCAAAAUCUGAAACACAUCUGAUCUCAAACAUUUCAGAUGAGGGAUACUCAACUUGUGCUAUGUAGAGAAAGGGAGAGCAAUGAGAGAGAUCAGUGCUUAUCAGAGAUUUGUUUGCAAAUUCAAACCCAUGUUGUGGCCCUCUUCCGCUUCUCAUCUUUGCCAUCUUACUAAUUUCUGGACACUCAACCAUAUUUAUUAAGGGCUUAGAACCUGGAUCACUAUCUUCCAGCCAUAUUAAAACCUGAUGAUGACUUCCUAUUGACCAGGGCCCUUCUUUCUAAUACCUUCACCUCUGGUUUUAUUGACUUUCUCAUCUCCAACAACCUCCUUUGCUCUACCUAAAUCACUUAUCUCCAUGAAACCUGUUUUUGCUUCUUAAAUCCAUUAAGUUCCAGGUCUUCAAUUCUGCAGACACUUCAAUGAAAUUGACACAGGUGCAUGACAAUAGAUGGGAAUCAUAAUCUUGAGCUUAUAACUAUAUAUUGCUAUAUUAAAUUAUAUUCUUAUUAUAUUUCACAUAAUCAUAUAUUUAAGUUUUUUAUAUUUGUUCCACAUCUAGACUAUUGCUACAAAUUCAUAUAAACAUCUCUCUUUCCAGUUUCGUAGUUUAGUGAUGCCAGUUUAUCUUAUUCAUCAGUUUCCUCCUGUGCUGAUAUUUCCUUUUUUCUCAUCUAAAGCAACUUUUGUCCCCAUUUCAACUUGCUGUGCCUCAGAGGCUGACUGUACUGGGAUCUGGUGAUAGGCAGAAUUGCCACAAGUCCUUUAAUUUUUGUUGCUUCUCAAGGGCCUCGAAAUUUCUCCUUUGUUUCCUGUUUUUUAAAAAAAAAAUGACAGAAACUCUAUUUUAUUUAAAUUUUACAGCAUUUUUAUACAGGAAGUAAGUAUAUAAUCAUCUCCAUUUUACAAACUAGGAAAAUAAACAUAGAGAUGCUAAGUGAUUUCAAUUCUGUCACCAAAGGUGCUUGUCCUUCCUCUUGCUCCUUCUCUCUUCCAGAAGCCACACCUUUUAAAGACCAGCCGUUCCAAGCCCCUCCCCUGAAGUCAGUGCUCUGGUGUACCAUGACUUCUUUUCAGUAUUUUUGUGUUUAGGGUAGACUUUUACUUUCUGGCAAUGUUUUUUUGGAGCAAUCUGAGGGCUGCUGCUAGCUUCCCCUUUUCCUCUUUUAUGAAGCCUUUCCUCAGACUGCCCUUGCUCAUCACAGAGGCUUUUGGGAGAAGUGUGAGAUUGCUGGGCUAUUUUUGUUGUUGUUUUCUCACAGAAAUUUGAAGCCUGGCCUUGUUCAAAGGUCUUGUUUUUAUAUGACCACAUAUUCUUUUAAUGUGGCCAUGGAAAAUCAAGUGUAGUCAUAAGUAGUUAGUGGGAGUGCACACUGGCCAAGCUCUUUUAGAGGGAAUUUUGCAGUAUUUAUGCAUUUGACCCAGUAAUACCCUUGACCCAGUAAUCCCAUUUAUAGGAAUGAACCCUGAAGGUUCUCUUCCAGCCAAAAAUGUGCAUGUACAAGGUCAUUAAUCUGACUUUAUAAUUUUAGAAGAUGAGAAAUAAUUUAAGUACCCAUACAUAGAAGGUCAGCUCAGUAAACUAUAUUAUACCCAACAAUGGAGAUCUAUACAGAAACAAAAAAGAACAAGGAAUAUCUCUAUAAACUUUUGUAGAAUUGUCUUCAGACUAUAUUGGUAAAUGAAUAAAAAUCAUAUGAAAAAUACUAUAAGAAAGAUUAAUAAAAAAUGUGUACCUGUUCUAUUCAUUUGCAGAAAAAGAAACAAGAAGGAUAAACUACAAUCAGUGAUGUUGGUUAGAUGCAAGGAAUGAGCAAGAGUGAGCCAGAAAAUGAUGGGGAAAAUGAGAAUGGGAAAUAUUGUGUGAUUUUAAUUUUAUCGUCUUUGCCUCACAUAUUAAAAAUUCAAGUAACUAUAAGCAACAAAAAAGGGAAGGAAGAGUAAAAACCAUAAUGAAAUACAAAUGAAAAUUACUGUGUUUCAAAUGAAUACCACAACCACAUUUAAAAGGAGUCCGUGAGUUAGAACUAACUUAAGUAACUUCAGAACACAGUAAUUUUAUUAUACAAUAAAAAGGCUCAAGACAAAAAGAGUACAUAAAAUCACUGGAUUCUAUUUAGUAAAAUUGUUUUUCAUAGUAGUAUUGGUUAGCAAUCCCAACACUAUGUUAUAUGUAUUCUAAGGUGGGGCAGAUAAGUAAAUAUAUUAUGGCUAAUGAGAGUCAGCUUUCUUACCAUUGUAGAAGAGAGUUUGAAAUAAGGAAAAGAGGAAUGUUUGCAUGAAGACUGUGAUAUUUAAUUGUAACUUGUGUUAUGAAAAUGAAUUCAUUAUUUUGAAUAUAAAAACACAUAGAUAUACACACAUGGAUUUGUAGAGGGGAUAGGGAAAUAGAUAUAAAUAUGUGUAUGCAUAUCUAUGUUGAUCAGAUUCUCCAGAGAAACAGAAGCAGGAGGAUGGAGACACACACACACACACACACACACUCUCUCACUCACACGAUUUUUUUCUUGUUUAUGGAGACCAAGUAGUUCCAUGAAAUGCUGUUCACAUGCUAGAGACCCAGAUGAGAGGGUGAUGUAAUUCUGUCUAAGUUAAAAUGUUCUCAAACCAGGGGAACCUAAUAGUGUAAUUCUCAGUUCAAGGCCUGAGAACCCACAGUGGUGAAGGGAGCUCUUGCUGGUGCAAGUUCUGGAAUCCAAAGCCCUGAGAACCAGGAGUUUGAUGUCUGAGGCUGGGAGAAGAUGGAUGUCCCAAGUCAAGAAGAGAGAGCAAUAAUUCACCCUUCUUCCACCAUUUUGACCUGUAUGAGUGGGUGCUCAAUGGAUUAGAUAAUAUGUGCCCACAUUGGUGAGGAUUAUCUCCUUUACUUAAGAUUACUGAGGCAAAUACUUAUCUUUUCCAGAAACAGUCCCACAUACUUACCCAGAAAUGUUUUACCAGCUAUCUAGGCAUCCCUUUACUCUGUGAUUUUUGACACAUAGUUAGCAAGCAUGUAAUACAUGUAUAUGAUAAAUAUUACAUACAAAUCUGUAGUACAUGUGUAUAAUAAAUAUUAUAUGUAAAUCUGUCUUCUCAGAAAGCCUAGAAGAAAUGAGAACCCAUAUUCUGAUAUAUAAAUACCUGUCCCCAGUGAAAAAUCAGAGUUCCCUGGAGAAAUGGUUGAUUUCAGGGCUGUGGCAGGAAAAGUAGAUAAGCUUAAAAUACUUUCCAGGUAUCAAAAAUUAAGGGUUCCAGAAAUAAACACUUUAAAAAUGAUGCUGACGUGUCAAAAAAGACUCAGAAGCCAGUGUCAACAAGGUCCCACUAAAUCUGGGAAAAUUAGAAAAGAAAAAAAUAAAUAAUGAUGGUAAGGGAUUUUAUAACUUAUAGAAUUACAUAAAAAUUUGAGUCCCUACUGAUGUAAGUGAACAAAUACAUGAGAAGGAAUAAUUCUAUAUUAAUUCAUGACACUGAAUUUUUAAUUAAAUUUUUUUUCAAAAUGAAAAUUUUAUGCCCAAAUGCUCUAUUGGUAAGUUCUGACAUUUAAGGAAGAAAUAAUUCCAAUCCUAACAAACUCUUUCAGAAAAGAGAAAAUACUUCCAAAUUCAUUUCUUGAGAGCAAAGACAACAGAUAAAGAAAAGAGAACUACAGACCAAUAUCCCUAUGAAGAUAGGCAAAAUAUCCUUAAAAAAAUUUAGCAAAGCAACAAGAUAGUCAUGUGCUAAAUCAUGAUGUUUUGGUCAAAAACAGACUACAUGUUUGAGGGUAGUCACAUAAGAUUAUAUUACCUAGGGAUGUCACAGCCACAUUAGUUUGUAGGUAAUUUUUUUCAAUGUUUAAAAAGAAAGAAUAGUAAAAUGCAAAAUAUUUGAAAUAUAAAACAUAAAUAGAGAAAAUCAAUGAAAUAAGAACUGGGUUUUUUAAAGAACUCAAUAAACACCUACAUUUACAUUGAUUUAUCAACAAUCAAAGGAAAAGGCAAUACCUAGCAAUAGAAUACAUCACUCACUACAGAACAUAGCCAUUAAAAGAAAAACAUGAGAAUAUGAUGGAGGUAAUUUAUGCCAAUAAAAUAAGCAGAUUGGGUGAAAUGAACAAAAUCAAUGAAAGACACAAAUUAACAAACCUGAUCCAAUCAGUGAUACAAAACCUUAAUAAUUCUAUGUUAAUUCAAGACAUUGAAUUUUUAAUUAAAGAUUUUUUUUCUCAAUUAAUAGCAUUACUUCUGCAGUGAACACAGUUGAAGAGAAAAUCAUUUCACAAUUCUUAACUAUUUUUAAUCAACUCCCUGAAUCAGGAAGUACUGCCUUCGAAUUCACUAAUUUUCUCUUCAACUGUGUCCAUUACAGAAGUAAUGCUAUUAAUUGAGAUUGCAAUUUGAAUUGCUAACCUCGUUCAUUGCCAAUAUUUAUAAUAGCUUUUUAUCCUCUUCAGAUCUGCCUGUAUGUUUUUAUAGGUCCUCUCCUUGUUUAGUUUUUAAUGGUUGUUAACCUUUUAUUAUUUCUUGAACAUACUUAUUUUGAUGUCUUUAUCAUACCUUUCUAUUAAAAGGAAUUUCUUACUGUG